AACGCAGAGCAUGGAGUUUCUGUAGCAGUGUCCUCAGUGGCUGGAUAAAUAUUGAGACGUGGUUAAGGAUUCUGGAAACCUCUUUGUCUAGCCACACUUAGACUUUUUUCAGCUAAUCCUUUAAUUUGAAUAUAAUCUUUAGUCCGAGGAUUCCCAUUUAAACAACUCAGUAUUCUUUUAAGUGUGUCUUUUAGCCCAGCUCAAGUUAACAUGAAACUCCAGGUGAAUUUUCGCUUAUGAUUCCAUUGCUAGCUAUUAUAUAAUAAUAGCGUUUGCUGCACUAUUCUAGUCAUGAAGAGUGAGGAAAAACACAUACCUAGGUUGUCUCCCUUAAAUGGUUUGCUUUGCUGAAUGCUUUUUUAUCCUAAUCACCUGCAAAUUUAUAACCCAAUCAUUCUUUCUCAAGAUUUGAAAAUGUUUUAAUCCUGCAAACUGGGUGAAUUCUAAACAGCUCUACAAAUAUAAGGAAAUAUUACAGCAAAUUUUAACUGAUUGUGAUUUUUUUCCCCAUUCCCCAACACCCCAACCUAUUUUUGUGGACAUUGGUGAAUAAUCUGGAGCCUCUCUUCAUUGGAUAAUAUAUAAACCAGCUUAACUCAAGCCUUGCAACUAAAUCAUACAUGAAGACAUUAACUCUUUGCUUAGGUUCCUAGCAGAUAUACCUGAGAAGAAGCUUCAUUUAAGUAAAAAUUAAUAUGUUUGAAACUUUAGAGAUCCAGUUUUUUACAAUUCUGUGUCUGUGGAAGAGAAGGAUAUACAGGGAAUGCUAGGGAAUAAUUAGCAUUAAACAUUAAGCUUUUGGUGGGUAGUGGUGGUGGUACUGAUCUUGCUUAAUGAAAUUUCCUUAGAGUUCAGUCAAGGCACUAAGGCAAAGAGAGCCCAUUGAGGAAGAACAAUGGAACAGAAUUUCUGGAAUUAAUGUUUAGUGCCUCGUGUUGUAUUUAGGAAAGUGAAACAUAUUUCCUGUAAGAGGGAAUUCACCAAGCACAAGAAUAAUGAAUGCUUUAUUUUGUCUCUCUUUUGACUUCUCCAGAAAACACAGAAUUAAUAAUCACCUCCCUUCACAGGUGAGGGGAUGAAGGUCCGGAAGGGCGAAACAUACAGCCCCAAGUAAUCUCUGAUCUGGGUAGAGUCAGAGCCCAACAGGCUUGUUUAUACUAUGAUUAUUCAGGCUCAGCCUUCUCCUAGAGAAAGGCUGACUCUAAAUGGUCAAGUAAGUUGGGUUUCCCUUAAUGUUUCUUGCAUUCUUCUACUAAGAUAUAGUUUAUUAGGCAAUUGAAUAAAGAAUUAUAUCCCCCAGCCCUGACUCCCAUAUAUUAUGUAAGUGAGGAUAGUUGUUUGGGAAUUUAGCACAGGGCACUUUUUUUUAACUUAAAAUUUGAACUUAAUUUACCUCACAAAGCUGCUGGGACUGGACUGGAUAACAAUGAUGUUCUGGUUACUGUGAUGCUGAAACAGAUUUCAAGACAGAUAAUAGCUCACCAUGUUGGGGUAAAAUGUUGGUAUGUUGCACAUAGGUGCAAGAACUUUGUGUUUUAGAGAGACCAACUUCUUAAAUGUGUAACAGUUAACAUUGUGAGGUGACUGCAUUUAUCUGGAUUUCACCUGCAGCUGGGCCUAUAGCCUGCCUGAGGUCAGAAAAUUUUUCAUGACCCAUUUUUUACCCUGAAUUGACAAGUUUAGAAAACAGGUUAAUGGACUGUUUCAUCCUCCUGGACCUUGAAAAGCUGGCUGACCAAUAUUAGACUAUUACUGCUACAUUAGUGUGCUAGGGAAACCUUUUUGCUGCACAUGCAGAUUUUUCUGUGACAUUUUGACUAGAUUUUGUGGGCUUCUGGGUACUAUGCUGUUUUCCUUUGCAAACCAUCUUCAUCCUUCUCAUUUGAAGCAGAGUUGAAGUGGCUAACGCAGGGAAUGCAUUUACGGAAGCUUGCACCCUAUCUGCCUUUGUUCAGCAAUGCAGGUGGCUCCUAGCAUUUAUCUAUGUUAUAAAUAUGUGAGGUCAGGGAGGGGUACUUACUAACCUCUGGAAAAGAUGAGCUUCUUGGUAAAUAUUUAUUGACUUACGGUAGAAGCAAACAUAGAAAACUAGUUCAGAACUUAGCCUUAAUAUGCCUUUUCUCCUGGAAGUAAAAUUAUUCUCACUGUGAGACAGAAGACAUUGGACCUUAGCUUCCAGAGGACCCGGAUACAUUUUACUCGCUCUCUAGUACCAAUUCAGUCACUAAUGUGGUACCUGAAUACAAUUUAAACGCUUUAGGAGGCCUUAGGUAGGGUGGGACUCAGAAUCAUUUCCCUCUCUCAAGCCAAAAAGUGUUUCUGAGGAACACACAGAACAUCAGGUGAUCUAGAUGGGAACAUUUGGGAAAACUAUCACAGGCAAUUAUAUUUACUUGGCACCUAUAUCACCAAAGAUUGUUCUGUUUGAGACACCAUUUACUGGUUUAAUUGAUCAACAGUGGAACAUGCCCUGGAUUUGAACUCUGAUCCUGUUUAUUGAGGAUGUGCCUUGUGUGCACACACCAGUUCAAAAGUGUUCUGUGUUAUCAGUAGGAAACCUGUUGGCCUUAUGAAGCUAAAUGAGAAGAAGGCAUCACUACAAAAAAUGAAGUAUAAAUCUUGGUGGGGACCAGAAGCCGCCUUUUCAAGCUUGGAUUUCCUUGCUCCUGGGUCCAUUGUAAGCAACCAUAUGUUUGUCAUGGUGCUGACUGAGAAAUCGUAGGACAAAGAGCCUCCUGCAAAACCAAAAAGAAAUGUUACUGUCCUGCAAUUAUAAUUCUUCCUUGACUUUGUUCACUUUAGAUGUUUUACUAGUGAGUUUUGAUGACUCCCACCCCUUAUGUGAGAAUGUGUAUACUUUGGAAACUUGAAUUUAUCCAAACAAGCUACCUAUGACUUAGAGUCGGCAUAAGUUUUAAAUUCAAUGCUCAGUCCAAAUGGAUCUGGUUCCAGGCCCACUCCAAGGGUGGUUCCAGGUGUGUUUAUUCAGUACUUGUACCAGACCACACAGGUAGCCUUGUUUCUGAGGGCAGCUUUAUGGGGAGGUGUAGAAGGUGGUGGGCAGCAAAUGCACUGCAGAAUCAUUUACUUGGGUAUGGUGUUUAAGGAGCCUGAGAUUUUCACAAGAACCAGCAAAACCAGGAGUGGAGAAUUGGGGAGAGAGAGAAGUAGGCCUAAAACUCCCUCUUCUUGUGUCUUUUUUGACUUAAUACACCAUUGGGUCUGUCCUGGUGCUAUGGCCUAUCACAAAGGAUUGUUUUAAGAGAGAAGCAAGCCACAGCCUUGCCAGAUAAAUCUCCAACACCAGCAGAAAAGCACGGACCCUGAUCUAUGGGAGGCAAGGGUCUCCCAUUACUUCUGGAGGCAAAUGGUGCCUUCUAGUGAAAUGGUGCCACCAUUUGCUGAUGCGGGUGCCUGUUCUCAGGAUGUGUAGAAACUCGGGCUUCUACAUGGGUUUCUACAUGGUUUAUUCAAUCUAACUGCAUACCUAGCUUGGCAGAAUGGAGGUGGACAAAAGUGCUGAAAGGAUGAAGGUAGGCUUUUAGGGCAAAUCAAGUCACAAAGCAGAUGAUUGAGGGAGGUUACAAAGCUUAGGCAGAGUUAAAGUUGGGCAGUCCGUUAGCUCAUUUUGCAAGUAUCUCUGGAGAAGGUAGUUUGUUUCUCUUGAGAUUUUAAGUGCUCAUUUCUUUUCCCCUCCUUUUUUUUUUUUUCCAUUGAAUAUUCUCUAAAGACAAUCAGAGGCCUGCCAGGGAGGGACUCCUGGCUGGUUCCAGCACUGUCCUUAGGCCUCUUUUUAAUACUAACUUGUUGGAAUUGAUGCACUUUGUUUAAUGUAUUUUGCCUUUUUUUUUUAAGCUGCUCAUUUAGAACAAAAUCAAAUGCUUAUUGCAUUGUAUCCUUCCUGCUUGCUGUUUUUCCUCUUAAUUUCAAGUUAUGCAUUGAAGAUAAAAGUACACUUAAGAAGUAUGCACAAGAAUACCUAUUAAAAUAACUCCCAUCAAGUUUGAUGGUAUAACUUCAAAGGAUUAAAAAAACUAUUUUGGAUUAAUAUUUUGCGUGGUUUUUUUUGUAAAUAUGAUUGUAUAUAAGCUUGUGGUACAUUAUGACAGUUUUAAGUGGUUGUGAGAACACUAAAGAAAACAGGUCUUAAGCUAUGUUUAACCUUAACUUUGUGCUGAUUUGACAGCAAGGAAGGCAUUUUGGCCAGAGUAAAUUUUUUCAAACUCUUUCCAGUGGGACCUCAGAGAAUCAUUUCCAAAUGGAUGAAAAGUUCCUUCCUACUUUAAUAAAACUCCAGAAUUCUUUCCCCUCUCUUGCUGUCUCAUCCUUUACUUUCUAGAUUUAGGUGCUUUUUAAUUCCAGUUCAGGAAAGAUAGGAAGAGUAGAAUUUCCCCAUAGCAACCUUGCUCCUGGCAUUGGGGAUUCUGCCUCUAAUCUCUGAAGACUGCUUCUUGUUUGUUCCUCUGUGAGCCUUAAGGAUUCCUCCACAGCUGGAUGUGCAGAACAAUUCUUUGUUAAAAUCAUCACUUUUCAGCUCAGUGUCCAAUUUUCCUUGAGCUGUCUGUGUCUUUAAGCAAUCAAUAGUCUCCUUAUGCCCAGCCACAAUCUCUUCUGCUUUAAGACGUAGCCUCUUGUUUGAUUCUCUCUAAACAUUGUACUGUUAACUGUUGAGCACCCUCAUAAGAUCCCUCUUAGACUAAAAGAUAGUUCAUGCAAUUUUAAUUUUCCCUUAUCCAUUUAUUUUCUUAAUCUGAUUUCCUGUAUUUGCCCAUGGCCAGUACUUGUGGAGAGUUUAAAAUUUUAUAAAUUAAAAUUUCAUUUAAAUUAA
ensembl:lncRNA